CGGUCCAGACUCCUACGGGAGGCAGCAGUGGGGAAUAUUGCACAAUGGGCGCAAGCCUGAUGCAGCCAUGCCGCGUGUGUGAAGAAGGCCUUCGGGUUGUAAAGCACUUUCAGCGGGGAGGAAGGCGGUGAGGUUAAUAACCUCAUCGAUUGACGUUACCCGCAGAAGAAGCACCGGCUAACUCCGUGCCAGCAGCCGCGGUAAUACGGAGGGUGCAAGCGUUAAUCGGAAUUACUGGGCGUAAAGCGCACGCAGGC
rnacentral:rRNA from 2 species